rnacentral:misc_RNA from 1 species
UUAACUAUUAUAUAGUACUCAGACGACAAUAAUAAUAAGAGUUUUGAUUCCUCUGGCGGCCGCUGACCAGCCGGAGCCGGUUGUCUUGCGACGGGGCCGCCAAAGCAACAAAGGUAUUGUAUACAGAGGGUGGGAGGUCUACCCCGAAGGGCAUGAUCUCAUUAAUGAUCCUUCCGCAGGUUCACCUACGGAAA